UUGAUCCCUGGCUCAGGACGAACGCUGGCGGCGUGCCUAAUACAUGCAAGUCGAGCGGAAUGAUGAAGAAGCUUGCUUCUUCUGAUUUUAGCGGCGGACGGGUGAGUAACACGUGGGCAACCUACCUUGUAGAUUGGGAUAACUCCGGGAAACCGGGGCUAAUACCGAAUAAUCCAUUUUGCUUCAUGGCAAGAUGUUGAAAGGCGGCUUCGGCUGUCACUACGAGAUGGGCCCGCGGCGUAUUAGCUAGUUGGUAGGGUAAUGGCCUACCAAGGCGACGAUACGUAGCCGACCUGAGAGGGUGAUCGGCCACACUGGGACUGAGACACGGCCCAGACUCCUACGGGAGGCAGCAGUAGGGAAUCUUCCACAAUGGACGAAAGUCUGAUGGAGCAACGCCGCGUGAGUGAAGAAGGUUUUCGGAUCGUAAAACUCUGUUGUAAGGGAAGAACACGUACGAGAGUAACUGCUCGUACCUUGACCGGUACCUUAUUAGAAAGCCACGGCUAACUA
rnacentral:rRNA from 1 species